rnacentral:misc_RNA from 1 species
AGAAGUAAAAGUCGUAACAAGGUCUCCGUAGGUGAACCUGCGGAGGGAUCAUUACAGAGUUCAUGCCCUACCGGGUAGAUCUCCCACCCUAUGUUAUUAUUACUUUGUUGCUUUGGCGGGCUGUUAGGCUCCGGCCCGACUACCGGCCCCGGCUGGUAAGCGCCCGCCAGAGGACCCAGAACCCUGAAUAUUAGUGUCGUCUGAGUACUAUAUAAUAGUUAAAACUUUCAACAACGGAUCUCUUGGUUCUG